CUAGCGACUUCAGAGUUUGAUCCUGGCUCAGGAUUAACGCUGGCGGCGUGCAUAACACAUUCAAGUCGAACGGAGUAGACGCUUCGGUGUCUACUUAGUGGCGGACGGGUGAGUAACGCGUGAGUAAUCUACCUUCCAGUGCGGAAUAACAACCGGAAACAGUUGCUAAUACCGCAUGAAAUGGCAGCAUCGCAUGGUGCAACCAUCAAAGAUUUAUCGCUGGAAGAUGAGCUUGCGUCCGAUUAGAUAGUUGGCGGAGUAACAGCCCACCAAGUCGACGAUCGGUAGCCGGACUGAGAGGUUGAACGGCCACAUUGGAACUGAGAAACGGUCCAG
rnacentral:rRNA from 1 species